rnacentral:rRNA from 1 species
UACGAAGGGGGCUAGCGUUGCUCGGAAUCACUGGGCGUAAAGGGUGCGUAGGCGGGUCUUUUAAGUCAGGGGUGAAAUCCCAAGGCUCAACCUUGGAACUGCCUUUGAUACUGGGGAUCUCGAGUCCGGAAGAGGUUGGUGGAACUGCGAGUGUAGAGGUGAAAUUCGUAGAUAUUCGCAAGAACACCAGUGGCGAAGGCGGCCAACUGGUCCGGUACUGACGCUGAGGUGCGAAAGCGUGGGGAGCAAACAGGG